UACGAAGGGGGCUAGCGUUGUUCGGAUUUACUGGGCGUAAAGCGCACGUAGGCGGAUUGUUAAGUCGGGGGUGAAAUCCCAGGGCUCAACCCUGGAACUGCCUUCGAUACUGGCAAUCUAGAGUCCGGAAGAGGUGAGUGGAACUCCUAGUGUAGAGGUGGAAUUCGUAGAUAUUAGGAAGAACACCAGUGGCGAAGGCGGCUCACUGGUCCGGUACUGACGCUGAGGUGCGAAAGCGUGGGGAGCAAACAGG
rnacentral:rRNA from 1 species